UGAAACACGGACCAAGGAGUCUAACACGCGCGCGAGUCGAAGGGUGUACAUACCCCGUGGCGCAGCGAAAGCGAAGGCAGCCUUCCGGUUGUCUAGGUGGGAUCCGUAGCCUCGGCUGCGGCGCACCAUCGUCCUGUCGCUUCGGCGAUGGAGCGAGAGCGUGUGUGUUGGUACCCGAAAGAUGGUGAACUAUGCCUGGACAGGGUGAAACCAGGGGAAACCCUGGUGGAGGCCCGUAGCGAUUCUGACGUGCAAAUCGAUCGUCUGAGCUGGGUAUAGGGGCGAAAGACUAAUCGAACCAUCUAGUAGCUGGUUCCCUCCGAAGUUUCCCUCAGGAUAGCUGGCGCUCGAGAGCUAGUUUCAUCGGGUAAAGCGAAUGAUUAGAGGUCUCGGGGUUGAAACGACCUCGACCUAUUCUCAAACUAUAAAUCGGGUGAGAUCCCCGUCCCUCUUGAUUUGGGGUCGGGGCCUCGAAUGCAGAGUGCCUAGUGGGCCAUUUUUGGUAAGCAGAACUGGCGAUGCGGGAUGAACCGAAAGCUGGACUGCGGCGCCCUAUGCCGCGACGCUCAUCGGAUCUACGGGAAAGGUGUUGGUUGAUACAGACAGCAGGACGGUGUCCAUGGAAGUCGGAAUCCGCUAAGGAGUGUGUAACAACUCACCUGCCGAAUCAACCAGCCCUGAAAAUGGAUGGCGCUGGAGCGUCGACAGCCUACGUCCAGCGGCUGGGGAAACGUGCGAAUUCCCCGGUCAGUAGGAGGGCCGCGGCGGGGAGCGCUGAAGCGCAGGCGUGGGCCUGCGUGGAGCCCCCGCCGGUGCAGAUCUUGGUGGUAGUAGUACAURUUCAGAAUGUGAGCUAUG
rnacentral:rRNA from 1 species